rnacentral:rRNA from 1 species
AGCGAACGCUGGCGGCAGGCCUAACACAUGCAAGUCGAGCGGCCCUUGGGGCAGCGGCGGACGGGUGAGUAAAGCGUGGGAACGUGCCCUUUGGUACGGAACAAAUGAGGGAAACUUAAGCUAAUACCGUAUGUGCCCUACGGGGGGAAGAUUUAUCGCCAUUGGAGCGGGCCGCGUUAGAUUUGCUAGUUGGUAGGGGAAUUGCCUACCAAGGCGGCGAUCUAUAGCUGGUCUGAGAGGAUGAUCAGCCGCACUGGGACUGAGACACGGCCCAGACUCCUACGGGAGGCAGCAGUGGGGAAUCUUGCGCAAUGGGCGAAAGCCUGACGCAGCCAUGCCGCGUGAAUGAUGAAGGUCUUAGGAUUGUAAAAUUCUUUCACCGGGGACGAUAAUGACGGUACCCGGAGAAGAAGCCCCGGCUAACUUCGUGCCAGCAGCCGCCGUAACAC